GACGAACGCUGGCGGCGUGCUUAACACAUGCAAGUCGAACGGAAAGGCCCUGCUUUUGUGGGGUGCUCGAGUGGCGAACGGGUGAGUAACACGUGAGUAACCUGCCCUUGACUUUGGGAUAACUUCAGGAAACUGGGGCUAAUACCGGAUAGGAGCUCCUGCUGCAUGGUGGGGGUUGGAAAGUUUCGGCGGUUGGGGAUGGACUCGCGGCUUAUCAGCUUGUUGGUGGGGUAGUGGCUUACCAAGGCUUUGACGGGUAGCCGGCCUGAGAGGGUGACCGGCCACAUUGGGACUGAGAUACGGCCCAGACUCCUACGGGAGGCAGCAGGGGGGAAUAUUGCACAAUGGGCGGAAGCCUGAUGCAGCAACGCCGCGUGCGGGAUGACGGCCUUCGGGUUGUAAACCGCUUUCGCCUGUGACGAAGCGUGAGUGACGGUAAGGGGUAAAGAAGCACCGGCUAACUACG
rnacentral:rRNA from 1 species